rnacentral:rRNA from 1 species
GAAUCCCGUCUUUGACACGGACUGCCUGUACAUUAUGGUGUGCUCUCGAAGAGUCGAGUUGUUUGGGAAUGCAGCUCAAAAUGGGUGGUAAAUGCCAUCUAAAGCUAAAUAUUGGCGAGAGACCGAUAGCGAACAAGUACCGUGAGGGAAAGAUGAAAAGAACUUUGGAAAGAGAGUUAAACAGUACGUGAAAUUGCUGAAAGGGAAACGCUUGAAGUCAGUCGCGUUGGCUAGAAAUCAACCUUGCUUUUGCUUUGUGUACUUUCUGGUUGACGGGUCAGCAUCAAUUUUGACCACUGGAUAAAGUCUUUGGGAAUGUGGCAUCUUCGGAUGUGUUAUAGCCCAUUGUCGCAUACGGUGGUUGGGAUUGAGGAACUCAGCACGCCGCAAGGCCGGGUUUCGACCACGUUCGUGCUUAGGAUGCUGGCAUAAUGGCUUUAAUCGACCCGUCUUGAAACACGGACCAAGGAGUCUAACAUGCCUGCGAGUGUUUGGGUGGAAAAACCCAUGCGCGCAAUGAAAGUGAAAGUUGAGAUCCUCUUCAAAGGGGGAGCAUUGACGCCCGGACCAGACCUUUUGUGACGGAUCCGCGGUAGAGCAUGCAUGUUGGGACCCGAAAGAUGGUGAACUAUGCCUGAAUAGGGUGAAGCCAGAGGAAACUCUGGUGGAGGCUCGCAGCGAUUCUGACGUGCAAAUCGAUCGUCAAAUUUGGGUAUAGGGGCGAAAGACUAAUCGAACCAUCUAGUAGCUGGUUCCUGCC